rnacentral:rRNA from 2 species
GACAGAGGGUGCAAACGUUGUUCGGAAUUACUGGGCGUAAAGCGCGUGUAGGCGGCCCUGCAAGUCGGGUGUGAAAUCCCAUGGCUCAACCAUGGAAGUGCACUCGAAACUGCAGGGCUAGAGUCCUGGAGAGGAAGGUGGAAUGCUUGGUGUAGAGGUGAAAUUCGUAGAUAUCAAGCGGAACACCGGUGGCGAAGGCGGCCUUCUGGACAGUGACUGACGCUGAGACGCGAAAGCGUGGGGAGCAAACAGG